GUAGGUGGCAAGCGUUGUCCGGAAUUAUUGGGGCGUAAAGCGCGCGCAGGCGGUUCUUUAAGUCUGAUGUGAAAGCCCACGGGCUCAACCGUGGAGGGUCAUUGGAAACUGGAGAACUUGAGUACAGAAGAGGAAAGCGGAAUUCCACGUGUAGCGGUGAAAUGCGUAGAGAUGUGGAGGAACACCAGUGGCGAAGGCGGCUUUCUGGUCUGUAACUGACGCUGAGGCGCGAAAGCGUGGGGAGCAAACAGGAUUAGAUACCCUGGUAGUCCACGCCGUAAACGAUGAGUGCUAAGUGUUAGGGGUUUCCGCCCCUUAGUGCUGCAGCUAACGCAUUAAGCACUCCGCCUGGGGAGUACGGCCGCAAAGGCUG
rnacentral:rRNA from 1 species